AGCGAGUGUUGUUAGAAGCCAUUGUUAUCCCUAACGGAGUAGCUGUCUGGGACUGCCGCGGGCUCAGCGAUUGGACAAGCUCAGUAUCGUGAUUGGUGAGCAGUACAAUAGAUGUCCUGGGAGACGUCAAAACUAAACCAUGCUUUGGAUGAAUUUGUGUAUAUUGCUUUGUUUUGAAUUUCUCCCUUUAGCUCUGCUCUGCCUGUCUUUUUUUUUUUCUCUUUUUUUUUUAAAAAGGGGAAUUAAUUGGAAAUAUGAAUUCCAGCCAGGCUACAGACAUGUAGACAACUAAAACCCUUGUUUCUCCACGCAUUUAUCACAAGCAUAAACUGGAAGAUUAUUCACAUCCACAGUUAGUAAAAACAUGUCUAUCCAGUUAAAGUUUUUUGUCGCUCUGUCAGAAAGUAGUCUUUUUAGUUGUUAACAGUGCAUAUGCCUGUUGAAAUGAAAUAUAAAAAAAUAGGAAUGUCUGUGGAAUAAUAGAGUAUUAGAAGAAGAAAAAACAGAUUAUAAAUAGACUUUUCUUACUCACAUAGAACAGUUCAGGCUUCAGCCUUUACCAUAUUACAUCCAAGACAAGACCAGAACAUGGAUCAUAAGUUUUGACAUUAUCACACGAUCCCCUAUCUCUACCAGAAUAUUGAGUGGACUUGUGAUUACGGUUGGGGAAUGAGAAGUACCCUCCUGUAAAGCCAACAUUGCCAUUUGUCACACUAAAGCCCUAAGUCGCGCCAAUUUUUUUAGAACUCCGGAAUUUUUUUUUAAAUUAAAUCCAGAAAUGUCACCCCUGUACUGAGUGUUUGGGUCAGUGAGGGAGGAUUUGAUCUGCCGAGCAGAUUGUUGAAACGUGUUUAUUUGUUUAGAUCAGGGGUCGUCAACCUGGUUCCUACCGCCCACUUGUGGGUUCUACGGCACAAGCAGAAUCCUCCCUCCAUCUAGAGAGAUGAACACUCUAUUCAUUUCUCGCGCAUUUAGUAGUUAGCAGGAAGUGUGGGCAUGCAGAUGAAAGCGCAAGAACGCGCACGUACGUGUGCGCACAUACAGACAUGUGCGCACGCGAAUGAGUAACACGCAGGUAGAGAAAGGGGAGGAAUUGUAAAAUAGGAGAAAGAAAGAGCAGAGUACUUGUAGAAUAGGAGAAAGAAGGAGCAGAGUACUUGUAAAAAAGGAGAAAGAAGGAGCAGAGUACUUGUAGAAUAGGAGAAAGAAGGAGCAGAGUACUUGUAAAAAAGAAGAAAGAAGGAGCAGAGUACUUGUAGAAUAGGAGAAAGAAGGAGCAGAGUACUUAAAAAAAUAGGAGAAAGAAGGAGCAGAGUACUUGUAAAAAGGAGAAAGAAGGAGCAGAGUACUUGUAGAAUAGGAGAAAGAAGGAGCAGAGUACUUAUAGAAUAGGAGAAAGAAGGAGCAGAGUACUUGUAAAAAGGAGAAAGAAGGAGCAGAGUAUUUGUAGAAUAGGAGAAAGAAGGAGCAGAGUACUUGUAGAAUAGUAGAAAGAAGGAAAAUACAAAAAAAAGGAAGGAGAAGGAGAGAAUUGUUGUUGGCUAAUAAUAAUAAGAGGGCUACCUAGCUCAGCCUUCCUGCUGGGCAUUGCUAUAAAGGAAGGUAAUAAUAAAGGAAAAGGAGAAAAAAAGGAAGAAAAAGAUAGAAAAAAGGGGUGGGGAAUUGAGGAGGUAGAGGAGGGGAGAUGAUGCAUGGAUGAGAAGUCAUAUUAUGAGCAAACAGAGAAAUCGUCUGAAUAUCACCGAAAGAGGAGACCUUUGUUUGUUCCUUAUGAAAAUCGAACCAGAUAUGAAAUAUUUAGUCUCGCAGCACCUGCUUCAAGGAUCUCAUUACUCACUAGUUAAAGGUAAUUUCAAUUUACUUUGUUUUCUCAUUAAACUUUAAAAAGUUAAAAACAUUAUAAACAUGCAUAAAGUAGAAAUAAAAAUAUAAAUUUAAGUACUUUUUUUUUAACCCCUUAAGGACACAUGACAUGUGUGACAUGUCAUGAUUCCCUUUUAUUCCAGAAGUUUGGUCCUUAAGGGGUUAAACACCCUCCUUUCUAAAAAAAAAUAUUCUGCACUUGUGCUAAAAAAAACCGAAAACUAUUGGGCGGUAAGGAAAUUUUCCCAUCAAGAAAGAUGCAUUAGUAAGCGGUAGAUAUAAAAAGGUUGACUACCCCUGAUUUAGAUAUACGCCAAUACAAAAGAUCUCUGGGAAAGUAAUUCACAAAUUCUCCUGAGAUUACAUCAAAACGCAUUAAAAUUAUUGCCACUUACACACUGACAUGAUACAUAAAAAAACAAAACAAGAUCCAAUGUGUCUGAUUACCGACCUGUUAAGUCGCAUGCUGGAGGUGUUCCUCUUUUUUUAAGAGAAAGCACCUAAAUGAUAUUGCAGAAGGUCUUGAUGGUAAGGUAUGUCUUUUUGCUGAUGAUACUAAGAUAUGUAACAGGGUUGAUGUUCCAGGAGGGAUAAGCCAAAUGGCAAAUUAUUUAGGUAAAUUAGAAAAAUGGUCAGAGUUGUGGCAACUGACAUUUAAUGUGGAUAAGUGCAAGAUAAUGCAUCUUGGACGUAAAAACCCAAGGGCAAAGUACAGAAUAUUUGAUAGAGUCCUAACCUCAACAUCUGAGGAAAGGGAUUUAGGGGUGAUUAUUUCAGAUGACUUAAAGGUAGGCAGACAAUGUAAUAGAGCAGCAGGAAAUGUUAGCAGUAGAAAGAGGGAAGUGCUCAUGCCAUUGUACCGAACACUGGUGAAACCUCACUUGGAGUAUUGUACGCAGUACUGGAGACCGUAUCUUCAGAAGGAUAUUGAUACUUUAGAGAGAGUUCAGAGAAAGGCUACUAAACUGGUUCAUGGAUUGCAGGAUAAAACUUACCAGGAAAGGUUAACAUGUAUAGCUUGGAGGAAAGACGAGACAGGGGGGAUAUGAUAGAAAUAUUUAAAUACAUAAAGGGAAUCAACACAGUAAAGGAGCAGGCCAUAUUUAAAAGAAGAAAAACUACCACAACAAGAGGACAUAGUCUUAAAUUAGAGGGGCAAAGGUUUAAAAAUAAUAUCAGUAAGUACUACUUUACUGAGAGCAUAGUGGAUGCAUGGAAUAGCCUUCCAGCUGAAGUGGUAGAGGUUAACACAGUAAACGAGUUUAAGCAUGCGUGGGAUAGGCACAAGGCUAUCCUAACUAUAAGAUAAGGCCAGGGACUAAUGAAAUGAAAGUAUUUAGAAAAUUGGGCAGACUAGAUGGGCCGAAUGGUUCUUAUCUGCCGUCACAUUCAAUGUUUCUAUGUUUAAAUAAUACUUUAUAUUAUCAGACUCAUAGCUUCUUAAUCCACUUCUGGUCUAGGGAAUUGUCGAACACUAGUCCACAAGACUGAACUAUUUUGCUGUGGUCAGAAGUUGCCUGCAACUGAUUAGUGUAGCGGUACUUACCCUUUCCAGGGGCCGGCCGGGGUCCUCUGUUUGAGCCGCGCGCGGCCCAUCCGACAGCUGUAACAGGAAGGCGGGCAGUGACCGCGAGAAGCGGACACGUGUCCCGCCUAACUCUAAGAGCGCGCCGCGGGUCUCGGGCGCGCUCUUAAAAGGACAGUGGGAGCCUAAAUUGGAAAAGGCAUCCCAUUGGUCCCUGUCAUGCCACACUCCCCAUACACUUACCUUUUGGGGGCGUGGAUGUGACAGGGACCAAUCAAAUGAGAUGUUUAGGUAUAUAUACUCACCUUUUUCCCUGAGUUCAUUGCCCUAUUGUGGUUUCUGUUUCAGUUCCCUUUAGCACUUGUUGUGUUCAGUUGUGUUCCUUCGUACUUGACCUUGGCUUUGUUUCUGACUACGUUAUCUCUUUAUCCUUAUCUGUUCUGUUUGCCGGCUUGCUGUUUUUCUGUGUACCAGACCCCGGCUAGUCCAAGUUUACGCUGUCUCUUUGUGCCCUUGACCUCGGAUCGCUCCUGACUCUGUAUCUUUCUCCUUUACGUCGAGUCCGGCCACUCUAAGGUCCGGUAGACGUACCUUCCCUCUGUGCUGACAUUUGUUUAGCUUAAAUUCUGCAUGUUGGGGUAUAUUUUCGUUACAUUACAAUAGGGCCAUGGACCACGCAGAUUUAGCUCAGCAGAUGGCUUCUCAUGAGGCUAGAUUUGUAGAGCAGGAUCACCGUAUGGAUCAGAUAGCCCAGGCUCUCCAGACGCUCUUAUCUAGAACUAUUCCAGCAACCACACCUAACCCUCCUACACCUCUUCUUCCUGAAGUGUCUACUUUGCCUAAUGCUUCGGCCCAUUUAACACCUCCUCCUAGGUAUGGAGGGGACUCUAAGACAUGCAGAGGUUUCAUUAAUCAAAUAGAAUUCCACUUUGAGAUGUAUUCAUGUUCCUUUCCCACAGAUAAGUCUAAAGUGGGGUUCCUUAUGCACCAACUUACCGAUAAAGCACUUGAGUGGGUAAAUCCUAUUUGGGAGGCUAAUGGACCUAUGGUGCACAAUUUCAAUAGUUUCCUUACGGCUUUUCGUAGGACUUUUGACACAACUAAAAGGUCAAAGAAUGCCGCCAGAACAUUAAUGAGAAUUAAACAGGGUUCUAGGUCUGUUGCUGACUAUGCCAUUCAGUUUCGUACCCUUGCUUCACAGGUAGAUUGGACCAACAAUGGGCUAACAACUGCAUUCAUGGAAGGUUUAUCUGACACUAUAUUGGAUGAGGUAGCGGCUAGGGAGCUUCCUAUUGCAUUAGAGGACCUUAUUGACUACCUCAUUGAUAUAGAUAACAGGAUUCGUGACAGACUCUAUACUAAAAACCGGAAUAGACGUUUAGUUACACCUAUUAACCCCAGAGACUGUCAAAGUAUCACAGGACGAACCCAUGCAAUUAGGGGUUGCCAAACUCUCUGAAACUGAAUAAUUACAUAGGAGAAGGGACGGACUCUGCCUAUACUGUGGUAGGAGAGACCAUAUGAUAAAAGAAUGUCCCGUGCUUCCGGGAAACUCUCGCACCUAAGGCCUUAUAGGGGACUGGCCUUGGGUGUGAUAUCUAAGUCUCCUAAAUUGCCUCCUAACCGUUUGCUUCUUCCUGUUUCUUUGUAUAUGGGAGAGGGUUGCAUAGCUGAGCACAUACAAGCCUUGGUUGACUCCGGGGCAGCUGAUAAUUUCAUGGACUCAGGUUUUGUUAAGAAAAACAACAUUCCCAUCAGAGAGAAGGAGAUACCCUUGGCCGUUGAGGCCAUAGAUGGUAGACCAUUAAGUUCUCCAGUUGUUACUCAUGAAACUGUACCAUUACACAUGUAUACAGGGGCUUUACACUUUGAAACCAUUCGGUUCCAGGUCAUCACAUCUCCCUCUUCUCACAUCGUGUUAGGGUACCCAUGGUUACGUACUCACAAUCCCAUUUUCGAUUGGGAGUCAGGGCAAAUAAAAUCAUGGAGCGAUGCCUGCCAUGAGUCUUGUACUAUUGAAGUCACCCCUUUGAAUUCUAUUAAUGUUCCUACUACUCCUCCUUUGUCUACUGUUAUACCCCCUCAGUACUUAUUUCUCAAAACUGUCUUCGAUAAAAGGGAGGCUGACAAAUUACCGCCUCACAGACCCUACGAUUGUGCUAUCGAUUUAUUGCCUGGCACAAUACCUCCAAAGGGCAGGGUGUACCCUUUAUCUGUUCAAGAAAACCGUGUCAUGGAGGAGUAUAUUAAGGAAUCAUUAGAAAAGGGGUUUAUUAGGCUGGAGCGGGGUUGAGCGGCUGGAGCGAGGUUCUUCUUUGUAUCAAAGAAAGAAGGUGAUUUAAGACCGUGUAUCGAUUAUAGAGGUCUAAAUAAAAUCACCAUCAAAAAUGCAUGCCCUAUACCUUUAAUCACGGAAUUAUUUGACAGGCUCAAACAUGCUACUGUAUUCACUAAAUUGGAUCUUAGAGGUGCAUACAAUUUAAUACGUAUUAAGAAAGACCACGAAUGGAAAACGGCAUUCAACACUAGAUCUGGCCAUUACGAGUAUACUGUUAUGCCAUUUGGUCUAUGUAAUGCCCCAGUAGUAUUUCAAGAAUUUAUCAAUGACGUUUUAAGAGACUUUAUUCACACAUUUGUAAUUGUGUACUUGGACGACAUAUUAAUAUACUCCACAGAUUUACACACUCAUCACAGGCAUGUUACGACAGUUCUGAAGACCCUUCUUGCUAAUGGUCUUUAUUGUAAACUGGAAAAAUGUCUAUUUGACCAUUCCGAAGUUCAGUUUUUGGGGUAUUUGAUUUCCGCUAAAGGUUUUCGUUUGGAUCCCCAGAAGCUUUCUGCUGUCAUGGAAUGGCCUCUACCACAAGGUUUGAAAGCCAUUCAGCGUUUUCUUGGUUUCUCUAACUAUUAUAGACGCUUUAUUAAAGGUUUUUCCUCUAUUGUAACGCCUAUCACCCGUAUGACAAAAAAGGAUGGCAAUACUCGUGUCUGGUCUCCCGAGGCACUUCAGGCUUUUGAAUUUCUUAAAACUACGUUUGCUUCUGCACCUAUUUUACAGCAUCCUGUCCCCACACUGCCCUAUAUUCUUGAAGUUGAUGCUUCUGAUAUCGGGGUAGGUGCUGUCUUAUCCCAAAGAGAGUCGCCUGAAAAGCCAUUGCAUCCUUGUGGCUUCUUUUCCAAACAAAUGUCCAAAGCAGAAAAUAAUUAUGAUGUGGGUAAUCGCGAACUCCUUGCCAGUGGCGUACAUACCAGGGUCGCAGGGGUCGCGGCUGCGACCGAGCCCGGCCCACCAGGGGGCCCGGUCGCCCCUGCAACCCGGUAUGUACGCACAGGGCCAGCCUCUUCUCCUGGGGGGCCCAGGAGGCGGCCACCUCAGGGCCCCCCCCCGAGGCUGACCCGGGCAGGCUCUCUGUCUGGGUGGCCGGUGCGCGAGGGAGCACUUUCCCCUAAGUGCUCCCUCUUCAGCUCCCUCGCGCACCGCACUGAUACCGGAGCCUGAAGAUGAAGUCAUCUUCCGGCGCCGGCAUCCCUAUGCGGCGUGCGAGGGAGCUGAAGAGGGAGCACAUAGGGGAAAGUGCUCCCUCGCUCCGGCCACCCAGACAGACAGCCUGCCCAGCAGCACCACUGGACCCCAGGGAAUCCCCUCCUUUCUAAAAUAGUUAAAAUAGUUUCCUUACGGCUUUUCGUAGGACUUUUGACACAACUAAAAGGUCAAAGAAUGCCGCCAGAACAUUAAUGAGAAUUAAACAGGGUUCUAGGUCUGUUGCUGACUAUGCCAUUCAGUUUCGUACCCUUGCUUCACAGCAAAAGGUAAGGCGGCUGGGGGGAUUAAAUAAAAAAAAUUAAAAAAAAUGUGUUUGUGUGUGUUAGUGUGUGUGUGUGUUAGUGUGUGUGUGUGUUAGUGUGUGUGUGUGUGUUAGCGUGUGUAUGUGUGUUUGUGUGCUUGUGUGUUAGUUUGUGUGUUAGUGUUUGUGUGUGUUUGUGUGUGUAUGUGUCAGUGUGUGUUUGUGUUAGUGUUUGUGUGUGUAUGUGUCAGUGUGUGUUUGUGUUAGUGUUUGUGUGUGUGUGUCUGUUAUUGGGUGUGUGUCUGCUAGUGAGUGUGUUACUGUGUGUGUCUGUUACUGAGUGUGUUUGAUGUCUGUUAGUGAGUGUGUGUUUGUCAGUGAAAGUGUAUGUUUUGUAAGUGAGUGUGUAUGUAUGUCUGUCACUGAGUGUGUCUCUGUCAGUAAAUGUGUGUGUCUGUUAGCUAGUGUGUAUGCGUCUGUUCGUGAGAGUGUGCGUGUGUGUCUUUAGCAUUUACCUUUCUCCAGCGUCGGACUCCAUUGGCGCUGGGGAUCCCUCCGCCUCUCAGCUCCGAAUGCACAUGCGCGGCAAGAGACGCGCGCGCAUUUAAACCGCCCAUAGGAAAGCAUUACUCAAUGCUUUUCUAUGGACGUUGAGUGUCUUCUCACUGUGAUUUUCAGUGAGAAUCACGGAAGCUCCUCUAGCGGCUGUCAAUGAGACAGCCACCAGAGGCUGGAUUAACCCUCAGUGAAACAUAGCUGUAUGUUUUCAGCUGCAGGGUUAAAACUAGAGGGACCUGGCACCCAGACCACUUCAUUGAGCUGAUGUGAUCUGGGUGUCUGUAGUGGUCCUUUAAGUGUGUGUGCAUACCUCGGUUGCGGGGUCACAGCCCUACAUCCCCUGCGACCAGGUGCCCGCCGCCAUGUGUUGCAGCCCCAACCCACGCCGAGGGGGGGGGGCCCACGGAUCAAUUUCCGCACCGGGGCCCCAUGGUUCAUGUGUACGCCACUGCUCCUUGCUAUUAUUUUAGCACUGAAAGAAUGGAGACAUUUGUUAGAAGGAACUAAGGAUCCUAUCCUCAUAUUUACGGAUCACAAGAACCUAUCCUACCUUAGUGAGGCUAAAAGAUUGUUUUCUAGGCAGGCUAGGUGGUCACUGUUUUUGUCUCAUUUCAAUUACAUUAUCACCUAUAGGACAGGUGACCGCAACACUAAAGCAGACGCUCUGUCCAGACAGUUCGAAACUACUGACAAACAGGAGAUUGAUGUGACUCCUGUAAUUCCCCCAGAAAGGAUAAUAGCUACCACUAUUUUGUCUAUUUCUUCGUCCCUCUUGCAGGCCAUACAAGCAAAACAAAGCAUGGCACCUAGCGAGAGACCUACUGAUAAACUGUUUGUUGAUGUUCCCGAGAGACGGGAGAUUCUGUCGUGGUAUCAUGACACUAAGACUGCUGGACAUCCUGGUGUUUCCAAAACGGUGUCAGCUUUUUCUCGGUAUUUUUGGUGGGAUUCCUUACGCAAGGAUGUCACCGACUAUAUAGGUGCUUGUACUACUUGUGCCUGUAUGAAAUCUUCUCGUAGGGUUCCUUGUGGGCUGUUGCAUCCGUUACCCAUUCCCGAGAGAACUUGGUCUAACCUGUCCAUGGAUUUUAUUGUUGAAUUACCCCCUUCGAAUGGUAACACAGUUAUCCUAAUGAUAGUGGAUCGGUUUUCCAAGAUGGCUCACUUUGUGUCUCUUCACAAGCUGCCCACGUCCAGGGAACUAGCACUUAUUUUCGACAGAGAGGUGUUUCGAUUACAUGGCAUUCCCGUAUCUAUUGUGUCCGAUAGGGGUAGCCAAUUUAUUUCCAGGUUCUGGAAAGCCUUUUGUUCGGAAAUGGGUAUUUCUCUCUCAUUUUCUUCCGCUUACCACCCCCAGUCUAAUGGAGCUGCUGAACGUGCCAAUCAAUCUCUGGAGCAGUACCUUCGUUGUUUCGUAUCCCACCAUCAGAACAAUUGGUCUGACCUUCUUCCUUGGGCUGAGUUUGCUCGGAAUAACGCUACUCAUGAUUCUUCCGGCAAGAGUCCUUUUUACGUUGUCUAUGGCCAACAUCCUGUUGUUCUUCCGGCUGCUUUCUCCUCACAGGGCAUGCCAGUUCUGGAUGAACAUUUGGCUAAUUUGCGUAAUACUUGGGAGCAGGUUCAGCGUUCUUUGGUGGAUUCCGCUGCUCGCCAGAAGGUGAAGGCUGACAAGCAUCGCAGGGCGGCUCCUUCUUAUGUCGUGGGGGACAGGGUUCUGCUUUCCACGCGAAACAUUCGCCUCCGGGUGCCUUCUAUGAAAUUGGCUCCCCGCUUUAUUGGUCCUUAUCGUAUUCUGCAUAAGGUUAAUCCUGUUUCGUAUGCCUUGGGUCUCCCUAAGAAUCUGCGUAUUCCUAAUGUCUUUCACACCUCGUUGUUGAAGCCUUUCGUAUGCAACUGCUAUACCCGGCAUACUCCUCCUCCCCCUCCUGUCUCUGUGGAGGGUCAUGAGGAAUUUGAAGUUUCUGCUGUUCUUGACUCUCGUUUCCUUAGAGGUCGACUUCAGUACCUGUUGCAUUGGAAGGGCUAUGGGCCUGAGGAUUUCACGCUCCUCGUCUUGUGCGCUCUUUCCAUUCUCGUUUUCCUGCCAGGCCUGGCCCUCCCCGCCCGGAGGGCGUGUCCUCAGGGGGGGGUACUGUAGCGGUACUUACCCUUUCCAGGGGCCGGCCGGGGUCCUCUGUUCGAGCCGCGCGCGGCCCAUCCGACAGCUGUAACAGGAAGGCGGGCAGUGACCGCGAGAAGCGGACACGUGUCCCGCCUAACUCUAAGAGCGCAGCGCGGGUCUCGGGCGCGCUCUUAAAAGGACAGUGGGAGCCUAAAUUGGAAAAGGCAUCCCAUUGGUCCCUGUCAUGCCACACUCCCCAUACACUUACCUUUUGGGGGCGUGGAUGUGACAGGGACCAAUCAAAUUAGAUGUUUAGGUAUAUAUACUCACCUUUUUCCCUUAGUUCCUUGCCCUAUCGUGGUUUCUGUUUCAGUUCCCUUUAGCGCUUGUUGUGUUCCUUCGUACUUGACCUUGGCUUUGUUUCUGACUACGUUAUCUCUUUAUCCUUAUCUGUUCUGUUUGCCGGCUUGCUGUUUUUCUGUGUACCAGACCCCGGCUAGUCCAAGUUUACGCUGUCUCUUUGUGCCCUUGACCUCGGAUCGCUCCUGACUCUGUAUCUCUCUCCUUUAAGUCGAGUCCGGCCACUCUAAGGUCCGGUAGACGUACCUUCCCUCUGUGCUGACAUUUGUUUAGCUUAAAUUCUGCGUGUUGGGGUAUAUUUUCGUUACAAUUAGAUUGUGGCCUACUGGUUAACUUAUACUGGGGGAGACGGCCAAUUCCCCACUUUGCUGUGCUUCUAUUGCUCUGUUUCCCCUCCCCACCCUUUGGACCUGUUGGGGAUAUCCCAGUCCCCGCUGGUGUGGUUUUCAUAACAAACCAGAGAGAUUCCUAUUGCUGGACUCGGUCUUCAAUAGGAGGCCAAGCGGCUAUGAUCACAGAUGCCUGAGCAUGUGGCUAUCUUCAACACUCAUCUUCAGAGAUGGCUACUAUUAAAGCUUUUGACCAAUUAUGUGCUCACUUUUGGGAGAAAAUUUUAAAAAGAGCUUUUCACCUUAAACGUGAGCAAGCUGAGACAGAUCCUGUGCCCACUCCAUCAUUUCUGUUGUCAGAGAGAUUUAAAGCUUACCACUCCUUACCUGGUCCUGGAGCCACUAGGGACUGGAGCUUUUCACAUGGCCCAUGCCAUCAGAGAGCCACCAGUAGAAGGUAUUACAGGCGUAUUACAGGUCUCCCUUAGUAUCUCUAUCUGGGUUCCGGAAGAUGCCCAAUUAGUGGACAGGAUUUGUUGGCUCCAGUUGAGAGCUUGGGCUGGUGGACACCAUAGACUGCUUGAUGUAUAUCAUCGUGAAUUCGAGUAAAUGCAACUUUCCAUGCCAAAGAGUAGGCUGACUUUCCUAUCUAUUAGAAGAGCCUUGUAGCUUGGUUUAAACGUGGGUCUCCCCUGUUUUGAUGAUCUGUUAGGGGCCACUUGGAUGUUUUGUUUUAUGAGUCUUAUCUCCAACAGCUUUGCAGAUGUUUUAUUACGUUUCUUUGCUUACGAAAAGCAUAUUUUUCUUUAUUAUACUCAUCUGCUUGUUUUGUAAUGCUUUAAGCUGCUGUGUACUUUUUUAAUGUCUUUAUCUCUAAACAAAAGAGGUGCAUUCAUCUGACACCUAUACAUAAUUUGUAAUACUGAUGGCUUACAUCAUUUUACUUUGUCUAUGAUGUAUAUUGGUACAAAAUAAGAAAUGUAUUCUGCAUUCAUCCCAAAAUGCAUUCUCAUUACAAGCUACUUAGUGGAGAGUCCUAGCAGUGCUGUUUCCAGUCUGUCUUAUGUGAGUACCCAAGCCUCAAACCGUAUCUAUGAGCUUUCUCAAAUGUGUAGUGAAUAAACACCCCAGAGGCCAUAAUAAAAGAAAGGUUUGAUAGAUUGAAGGGGUUAAUUAGGGUAAGUAGUGGGGUUUUACAUGGCCUACAAGUCAGGAAUUUAUGUGCAGAAAGAAAGUCUUUUUAUACUUUUCACAAAGAAAGAGUAAAGGGGAUAGACUAUUCUAUAAAUCAGUCUGCAUCAUUGUGGUGGGAUUAAUUUAUUGCAAAAUUUUGGCAAGCAGAAUGAAGAGAUUUGCGGAGGACACGGAUUCUGACCUCUUUUCAUAAAAUAAAAAUGCCUCUUGAAUCCACUCUUAAACUAGAGCUUUCUGUCUCGUUUUCUUUUUGUUCCAUAAAUUUCCGACACAUGCUGUGGUCCUGUUCAUCCGGGGGUUAAUGAUUAUUACUAAAAUUACAUAUAUUGACAAAGGAUGGAGCGAGUCCAGUUAUAUAGGGAUAUUACUAGACUGCAUGGGAACCAAGCUAGGAGAACGUAGCAUUGUGGUUCAGCCAAAAACCCAGGACUUAACUGUUUUACAGGGAAUUAAUUUUGGUCAGCAGCCAGUGUAGUUUCACGCCGGAUUCGAUGGAAAAUAGCAUGAAUUUUGAAAUAAUUCUAAGACUGUCUAUGGUGAGCGUGUGUGCACACUUUCACCACUAGAUGGCAGAAAUAUUACCUUUUUGCAGGUACAGGGCAGCAGACACUACAUAGGAAGAAAUUUGGCGUGAGAGAGUUUGGACGGGAAAGUCCAAGACUUUGCACAUACAGUUCUUUCACCCUUACAUUCCUCCUCCAGAAGAAACAGAAAUCACUCGGGGCUAUUCACUAAAGUGAGAAUUGCAUUGAAUUCAAAGUGAAUUUCACAUUUUACACCUACAUAGACGAAAUGUUAGUUGAGUUGAGAGAUGAGAAGCCUGGUCAUAGCAUACGUCGCUUUAACAGCACAACCAGGCCCCUUCCUCUCUGCUGGGUGAGCUGGGAGGAUGUGAGAGACGGUCACUGCCUCCCAGCUGACAUAGACCCAGCCGAGUGAAAAAGGGGGUUGUACGAGCUACGUGGGGGGGAAGAGGGGAGGGAGGAUGAGGAGGGGGGGAGAGGAGCAAGCCUCUAUCUCCCAGCCAGCAAAAGGUAGAAAACCGGAGGGUGGCUAAAUUUUUGAUUUUGGGUGUGUAUAUCUGUAUGUAUGUAGUGUUUGUGUCAGAGUGUGUAUCUGUGUGUGUGUCAUUUUAUAUGUGUAUCUCUGUGUGUAUGUGUGUCAGUGUGUGUAUCUGUAUGUAUGUAGUGUUUGUGUCAGAGUGUGUAUAAUUUUAUAUGUAUAUCUCUAUGUCUGUUUAUUUGUAUGUGUGUCAGUGUGUGUAUCUGUAUGUCUCAGUAUGUGUAUCUGUGUGUCUGUUUCUGUACAUGUGUUUUUGUAUCUGUGUAUUUGAGACAUAGGGCAGGGGGAAAAAAGUAUAAAUUUUAAAUAACAGCAACUUUAUUAAUUACAAACAUUUCUCUAAUAUCAGGGGUACAGUUUAUAGAAAAAGGCUGCCAAGGGAUACACAAGUAAAAAAAAGUUUGGGAACCACUGCUCUACACUGUAGACAUUCAGUGGGAGACUUGUCACUGUCAGGGUACCUUUGGUGUCUACCUCGGAGGAGGUUAGACACCUAGACGUCCAUCCUCCCAGGGGGGCUGACUCACCCGAUCCUUGCACUCCUCCCGGUCGUUUACACGCCGGCCGCGAUAGCUCCGCCUCCUUUUAUGACGCGGCGCUCAGUAGCCGACGUCAUGGCGGCAAUCACGUUCCGACCCGUCAAUCACGGCAACCAAGUGCCGAACAACGAAUCAGGACUCGUUGGGGGCGGAGCCAACAGUUAAAGAGCCAAGGUAUAAAAAAGGGUUCUGUGGAAUGAUUCAUUGCCCUGUCGUGGUUCUAGCUAGUCUGGUCACUCAGUGCAAUUACCUCUAUUGUCUUUUGGUUUCUGACUCGGCUUGUAUUUUGACCCUGCUUUCCUCUCUUGUCCUUUUGACUCGGCUUGUCUCUCGCUUACCUGAUCUCUCGUUCCCUCGACCUCGGCUUGUCUCUGACUAUUCUUUUGCUUUCUCCUUACGUUAGUCCGGCCAUUCUAAGGUCCGGUAUACGUACCUACCCUCCUGUUUGUAUUCUGCGUGUUGGAUCCCUGUCACGAUCCUGACAUUACGACAGGGCCAAUGGAUCCUGCAGGUACAAACUCUCAGGUCGGUUCUCCUGACUCUAGAUUUGAGGCCAUGGAUCAUAGAAUGGACCAGAUGGCUCUAGCUCUGCAAGCAUUGCUAUCUCGUCCUAGUAGUCACUCAGAGGAGAUGCGUACCCCAUCUAUCUCUCCUAUAAGUACAGGCCUAGAGGUAGCCAUAGUGGCUACUUCUUCCCGUGUUACGUCCCCGUCACGCUAUGGCGGCGCUCCUGACACUUGUCGAGGUUUUUUAAACCAGAUUGGUAUUCAUUUUGAAUUACAACCCCACGCCUACCCUACUGACAGGGCAAAGGUUGGAUUUAUAAUUACCUUGCUCAUUGACAAGGCACUUAGAUGGGCUAACCCCCUGUGGGAAAAUGAUAACCCGUUAGUUUAUAAUUAUAAUGCUUUUGUCGCUGCAUUUAGGAGAGCUUUUGACCCUCCAGGAAGAAAGGCCAAUGCAGCUAGACUACUGUUACGUCUUAGACAGUAUAACCGAACCCUAGUGGAUUAUGCCUUGGAGUUCAGAUCCUUGGCGGCAGAGGUCAAGUGGAAUGAACAGGCUUAUAUGGACGUAUUUAUGAACGGGUUAUCUGAUGAGAUUUUAGAUGAGGUGGCCACAAGAGAUCUUCCUGAAAAUUUGGAGGAUCUGAUUUCAUUUAUUUCCCGAAUAGAUGAACGUAUGAGACAGAGGCAGAAUAUUCGGGAUAGAACCCGCAGAUCCUCCAUAAGACUAGCUCCCUCAUUUCAGACUUCUGAUUCUACGACUUUAGCUCUCCCAGAACCUAUGCAAAUAGGUCAUACUCGACUCUCAGAGGAGGAAAGACAGUACAGGAGAAGGGAGGGUCUUUGUAUGUAUUGCGGAAUUAGAGGUCACCUACGCCUAAAUUGCCCUAACCGGCCGGGAAACGCUCGCACCUAAGUUUCUCAAGAGGACAGGCCUUGGGUGUUUCUAUCUUGUCCUCUAUUUAUGAUUAUAAAGAUCAUAGGCUUCUGAUACCUGUUUCUUUAGCUUGGGAAAAGGGAGUACUUAAUGCUAUGGCUUUGAUAGAUUCCGGAGCAGCUGAAAGCUUUAUUGACCAAGCCUUUGUCACUAACCAUUCUAUCCCAUCUCAGCUAAGGGAUACACCCUUGGCCGCUGAGGCCAUAGAUGGUAGACCAUUAUCUGAACCUGUGAUUUUUCGUGAAACCAUACCAAUUAAGUUAACCACUGGUAUCCUUCACGAGGAAAGAAUAUCCCUCAUGCUGAUCUCAUCUCCUUCAGUUCCUAUAGUCUUGGGGUAUCCCUGGCUUAAGAAGCAUAACCCUAUCAUUGACUGGGAACUGGGUGAGAUAGUCUCCUGGGGUCAGGGUUGCCAGAAAGGAUGUGUGCAGAAAGUCUCACCAAUUUGCAGGGUUGACGCCCCGGUUAACUCUUCCCAACCUACAGAUUUACAGAUACCAUCACAGUACCAGGAUUUAAAGGCAGUCUUUGACAAAAAGAGGGCUGAUACUUUACCUCCACAUAGGUCUUUCGACUGUAAAAUUAGACUCCUACCUGGUACUAUGCCUCCGAGGGGUACGGUAUAUCCUCUAUCCACUAAGGAAAACUUAGUCCUAGAGGAGUACAUACGUGAAAACCUAGACAAAGGUUUUAUUAGGAGAUCAUCUUCUCCGGCCGGGGCCGGUUUCUUUUUUGUAGAUAAAAAGACGGCACUCUACGGCCUUGCAUUGAUUAUCGGGGCUUGAAUAAGAUAACUGUUAGAAAUGCUUAUCCUAUUCCUUUAAUUACUGAGCUCUUUGAUCGACUGAAAGGCUCCAAGAUUUUUACCAAGUUAGCUUUGAGGGGAGCUUAUAACUUGGUGAGAAUUCAGCAGGGAGACGAAUGGAAAACAGCUUUCAAUACCCGUUAUGGCCACUAUGAAUACACGGUAAUGCCCUUCGGACUUUGCAAUGCACCUGCAGUAUUCCAGGACCUUAUUAAUGAGGUUCUUAGGGAAUUUCAGCAUGAAUGCGUUAUAGUAUAUUUGGAUGAUAUACUAAUACACUCUAGAGAGAUUGAGACUCACCACAGACGAGUCAGAAGGGUACUGCGCAAACUGUUACAACAUGGAUUGUACUGCAAAUUGGAAAAGUGUAGCUUCGACCAAUCUCAGAUAAACUUUCUUGGCUACGUUAUUUCUGGAGACGGAUUUAGGAUGGACCCCAUUAAACUCCAAUCGAUUUUAGAUUGGCCAUUGCCCAGGGGACUCAAGGCCAUUCAGAGAUUUAUCGGAUUUUCCAAUUAUUAUAGGCGCUUCAUUAAAGGUUACUCUUCUAUUAUUGCUCCUAUUACUAAUAUGACUAGACAGGGGGCUGAUACCAAGACUUGGUCCACAGAGGCUCUCUCUGCUUUCAAAACUCUCAAGGAACAUUUUGCCUCAGCACCGAUAUUAGUUCAUCCUGACACAUCUUUGCCUUUUCUACUCGAGGUUGACGCCUCGGAGACAGGUAUAGGCGCUAUCUUGUCCCAAAGGCUAGGUUUGGAUAAACCGUUACAUCCAUGUGGUUUUUUUUCCAAGAAAUUAUCUGGGCCUGAAAGUAGAUAUGACAUUGGUGAUAGGGAACUGUUAGCGGUCAUUAUGGCUUUAAAGGAAUGGAGACAUUUGUUGGAGGGGACAUUAUACCCGGUUACUAUUUUGACUGAUCACAAGAAUUUGUCCUACAUAGGGGAGGCCAAGCGCUUGUCCGCCAGGCAAGCUCGUUGGUCCUUGUUUCUGACACAUUUCAAUUACGUGCUCACUUAUAGACCUGGUUCUAAGAACUCUAAGGCAGAUGCAUUGUCCCGUCAACAUGAACCCUCUACGGUGUCUGAAGCAGCUUUGUCUUCUAUCGUUCCUAAGUGUAAGAUUAUUGCCAACACUUGUGUCAGGAUACACUCGCCGUUGCUUGCUGAGAUCAAGAAAGUACAACAUCUAGCUCCCAAACCUGUUCCUGGGGAUCGAUACUUCGUUCCUCCUGAGCUCCAAGUGGAACUGCUGCAUUGCUUUCAUGACAGUAAAAUUGCUGGGCACCCCGGCACACGCAAAACGUGUUCCCUGAUUUCUAAAGAUUUCUGGUGGCCUUCCCUUCGUAAGGAUAUAAGGGAUUUCGUCAGGGCAUGUGCUGUCUGUAUGAAGACUAAGCAACCUCACGCGCUCCCUUGUGGACUUUUGCAUCCCUUAGAAAUUCCCGAGAGACCAUGGUCGUGUUUGGCUAUGGAUUUCAUUGUCGAUUUGCCUGUUUCUAAAAAACAUACUGUUAUUCUCACGGUGAUUGACAGGUUUACUAAAAUGGCUCAUUUCGUGCCCUUGCCUAAACUGCCCUCGUCUCCCGAAUUAGCUGAGAUAUUCGCGAGGGAGAUUUUUCGUCUACAUGGUAUUCCCUCUGAAAUUGUUUCUGAUAGAGGUUCCCAAUUUGUUUCCCGCUUUUGGAAGUCUUUCUGUUCUCACUUAGGCAUCAAGUUGAACUUCUCCUCUGCCUAUCAUCCCCAGUCCAACGGAGCUGCCGAACGCACCAACCAAAAGAUUGAACAAUAUUUGCGUUGUUUUGUUUCUGAACACCAGGACGAUUGGGUUGGUCUGAUUCCUUGGGCAGAGUUUGCACACAACAAUCUCGUUUGUGAUUCUACUCGUUCUAGCCCCUUUUUCUUGAAUUAUGGCUUUCAUCCUUCCAUUCUUCCGUCGGUUUCCCCUUCCCAAGGGGUUCCGUCGGUUGAUGUUCAUGUCGCCAAUCUGAGAAAGUUGUGGGAUCAGACUCGACGAAUUCUUCUUCAGAAUUCCAUGGUGUUCAAACGACACGCUGACAAACGGAGACGGGUGGCUCCGGUUUUUGCCCCGGGUGAUAGGGUGUGGUUGAGUACCAGAAACAUCCGCUUGAAGGUUCCUUCCAUGAAAUUUGCCCCUCGUUACAUAGGCCCUUACAAGGUUCUGUGUCGGAUUAACCCGGUUGCAUAUCGUCUUGCCCUUCCGCCUGCCCUGCGCAUCCCUAACUCUUUUCAUGUUUCUUUAUUGAAGCCUUUGGUUUGCAACAGAUUUUCCUCCCCUGAGUCCUCCCCUCUCGCUGUCCAGGUUGAGGGUCAGGAGGAAUAUGAAAUCAAAUCCAUUCUCGAUUCUCGUAUUUCUCGGGGGAAGUUGCAAUAUCUUGUUGACUGGAAGGGGUAUGGGCCUGAAGAAAGGUCUUGGGUGGUCCAUGAAAAUGUGCAUGCCCCUCGUCUCCUUCGGGCAUUUCAUGCUCGUUUUCCGUCCCGCCCCGGUUCCUUCCGCCCGGUGGGCGUUUCUGAGAGGGGGGGUACUGUCAGGGUACCUUUGGUGUCUACCUCGGAGGAGGUUAGACACCUAGACGUCCAUCCUCCCAGGGGGGCUGACUCACCCGAUCCUUGCACUCCUCCCGGUCGUUUACACGCCGGCCGCGAUAGCUCCGCCUCCUUUUAUGACGCGGCGCUCAGUAGCCGACGUCAUGACGGCAAUCACGCUCCGACCCGUCAAUCACGGCAACCAAGUGCCGAACAACCAAUCAGGACCCGUUGGGGGCGGAGCCAACAGUUAAAGAGCCAAGGUAUAAAAAAGGGUUCUGUGGAAUGAUUCAUUGCCCUGUCGUGGUUCUAGCUAGUCUGGUCACUCAGUGCAAUUACCUCUAUUGUCUUUUGGUUCCUGACUCGGCUUGUAUUUUGACCCUGCUUUCCUCUCUUGUCCUUUUGACUCGGCUUGUCUCUCGCUUACCUGAUCUCUCGUUCCCUCGACCUCGGCUUGUCUCUGACUAUUCUUUUGCUUUCUCCUUACGUUAGUCCGGCCAUUCUAAGGUCCGGUAUACGUACCUAUCCCCUGUUUGUAUUCUGCGUGUUGGAUCCCUGUCACGAUCCUGACAGUCACAAUAUUCUGUUCUAAAAGUGGCCUAAAGUACCUUGGGGGAAUCACCAUGAUUUUUGUUGGUGACUGUUUCCCUUUUAAAUUUUUGCACCACUUUGUAGAAUAGAACAUACUGACAAAUGUCCCCUGCUGUCUAGCCUUGGGUUCUCUUUUGGCUAACCUCCUAUGAAAUAUUUAGUUAUGCCUGGCCACCUGAAAGAUUGAGGAUACAUUCUCUACCACUACUCCAUCAUCUAUUCUUGUUAGUUUCUGUUCUUGUCUUUUUGAGUUUGGGUCUGUAUCGUUCCUGACAGUACCCCUUCUUGGUCUCUAUAUAUUUUUCAAUGGACAGUCUGCAAUGCUCCCAUUCUCAACAAUGUGGCAAACAACAACUUGUGAAGAUUCUCUACAUUAGACCAAAGAUGACCUUUCUUAAAGGACCACUAUAGUGCCAGGAAAACAUACUUGUUUUCCUGGCACUAUAGUGCCCUGAGGGUGCCUCCACCCUCAGGGACCCCCUGCCGCCGGGCUCUAGGUCCUUCUCUUCUCCUCUUCGGCUGAAUGCGCAUUUGCGUGGCAGGAGCCGCGCGCGCAUUCAGCCAGUCCAUAGGAAAGCAUUCGCAAUGCUUUCCUAUGGACACAAGCAUCUUCUCACUGUGAAAAUCACAGUGAGAAGCGCGGAAGCCCUCUAGCGGCUGUCAAUGAGACAGCCACUAGAGGCUGGAUUAACCCAUAGGUAAACAUAGCAGUUUCUCUGAAACUGCUAUGUUUACAGAAAAAAGGGUUAAACCUAUCUGGACCUGGCACCCAGACCACUUCAUUAAGCAUUAAGCUGAAGUGCUCUGGGUGCCUAUAGUGGUCCUUUAAGGUCUACAUUAUAGUAACAGCAGUAAAUCCUCAUAAAAUGGGAUUCAUUGCCUUGGACAAUGAUCUCCCCAAGUCUCAUGGAGAAACUUUUUUCCUCUGAGAAGGGGUUCUUUCUGCGAGAAAACAUCCUGCCUAUGUUAAUGGUAUUUUCAGGUGUCUAGCAAAUCUCCCUUACAAAAUGCACUCAAGGGAAGCCAUGUGUAAUUUUAUCAUUACUGUUUUACAUAGCAACAACACACCAAAUCCAAUACUUUGUGCCCAGUGAUUGGAAUGUGCUACACUAAGUAAAGCAGAGGAAUUACUAGCGUCUACUUCACCACCUAAGCCAAGAUUUUGUGUUGGUAAAAUGUAAUUCCCACCACUGAAACGAAAAAAAAUUAUCCAUUCGAGAGCAGUUGUGUCGAAAAAACAGGUGGUGGCCUUCAUUUUUAAACAUAACCUUUUAUUUUGUGGCAUCUUGAAGGCAGAGUGGAACAUCUUGAAUAAGAGGGAAGAUGAUGGGAUGGUUUAGCUUCCCAAGACACAUUACUUAACAAUUGUUAUUUACAAAAUGUACUGACAACACGCCAAUUAUUAUUGAAUUUAAUCUUUCAUCGACCCCGAAUGCCUCCUGGAUGAUGGGAGAUUACAUUCACUUCCAACUGUAAGAUUAGCUAAUCUCCUUUCCAGUGACACUGUUGCCACAAAUUACAUCUUGUCAGCUGUCACUAACCCCUUCCAAGAAAGCAGGGAUAUGGCACGAUGGGACAGUGGAGGACACUAGUCCACCAACGAUUCCAGCAUCUUAGACUCUUCCUCCUCUCUGUCUCCUUUCCACCCUCUCCCUUCCACUGUUGAUAUUUUACAUUUCUUUUGCUGACACAGAGUUAAUGCACAUAUGGAAGUAAUUGUUCUUGUAAAUAGAGAUAAUUCCUGCCUUUCCAACAGAGUUUGACUCAGAGAGUGCAGGGGAGGAGGUCAGAGGAGUAAAAGGGUUUUUCUAAGUACAUUUUAGAAUUGGAGACAGUUUCUGCUUAACGCACUUGCACAUUUACAUAUACAUAUUGCUUGUGUGUUAAAAAGUUUCUGACUGUAAAAAUGUAAAGAAAAUGCCUCUCUUUUCUCUACAUAUUCAUGGAGUAUAGGCUUUUACUUGCAUAAUAAACAGACCGAAGCUGCUCUUUGAUAGUCAUCAAAAUGCAGACUCUGACUCAAAACAGAAUGUCUUCUAGGUAAUGGGGUUAAUAGGUUGUUCUAUUUAGUCUUAAAGAAGAGCUUGAAAUCUUACUCCAAAUAUUUUUUUUUAAACUGUAAUUUCAGUAAAAACACUGUUUUUGGUUAGAGUAACCCUUCAUAAACUGUCUCACCUCCCUCCACCAAAAAGAAAAAAUGAAGAAAACAACUAAAACCUAUUUCUAUUACAGCGCCAAGGACAAGUUCUCCCUGCACCUCAAUGUUCUGUUGACGUCAGUACCCUCUCAUAAGACAGGCAAACAUUGGCAGCACAGAGGGGAGCAUGCUGCCUCUUUUGCCACAUUGCACACAAUUUGCAUUAACCACCAGAAAUUCUUGCUCUGGCUUUACUAAUGACACCAGAAUAAUGCUGGUGGAUGUGUAACAGAAUGUGCAGCAUUUCAUAGCAAAACUCUGCACAUACAGACUCCAGACACCAUGACCAUUUCAAAUCACUGAAGUGAUUAUGGUGUUUGAAGUAACCCUUUAAAGGCACAAAAAGAAAGCUAUAGGCUGUAAUUGAGGAACUUGAAUUGUACAUUAAGGAAUUAAAGUAAGUUUAUAUGCAGUUAUAGGAGUUAAAUGUGUCUACCGCAAGGGCUGAUUAAAGAUGAGUUACAAAAGUUGCUCUAUAUAUUGUGAUAGCUUAAUUGAAAGAAAACACAUGACUUGAAUAUAAGUUGUAACUCCCAAAUGUCCUGGCACAGUCACAACAAAACGAUACCAGAGAAAGUCACAGCAAAAAACAAACAAUGCAAGACAACUGCAAGCCAUUUCUUUCCGUAUAUUACAACGCUUCUGCAGUGCUCUUGGCAUGCACUGGACCCCCUGGACACAAACUGACACACACACAGAUGCACAGACACACAGAUACAAACACUAUCACACAGUUGUCUCAGGCCAACAGAGCACUGCUCGCUCACUGAUUGGCUAAUACUGUGUUUGCUUGUUAUUGAAUUCCGAUUGGUGGGUGGUGUUUUUGUACAAGCUCACAUCAGCAUGCCGUUGUUGGCGGCAAAAACUUAAGAGUAUAUUGGCUGAUCUGUAGAGAAGCUCCCUUUUGGCGCCAAAUAGCUCUAUAUAAGUACAAAGCUCGGCUUGACAGCUCAGCAUCACUUUUGAUGCUGAAGGCAAUUGUGGAGUAGAAGUGCGGUAAUCACGUUAUCUGCGUUAUUUUUACUGUAGUGGCAUUGUUUGUGGUACGUUGUCCCCUAGAUUAAAAUAAUAGGCGGCCUGACUAUGCCACUAAUGGCUCUUAAUGGAAUAGUUUUAAUAUCAAGAGUAAUUUAUACAUAUUUAUACUAUAAAGAGCUGCUCUGGAAAUAAUAUAUCAAAUCACAUAAAGGUGUGCGUGUGUGUGUUUGUUUGUGUCAUUUAUUAUUAGAUUUUGGCACAAAGAACUCCAAAACCUGGUUGGGUUACACUAAGCUGUCAGCUGAUACCCCUAUUUUGUUUGGGUAAGUGUGUGCUCAAUGUGCACAAUGUGUGCUGUCCAGGCCCAGACUGGCCAUCGGGCAUACCGGGCAAAUGCCCGGUGGGCCGCGAUGGCCGUGGGCCGAGGCCGGCAGGGGAGAUCACAGGAUCUCUGCGGCCGGCCCAUGCAGAGCCAGCGCUACCCGAGCGCCAGUCCUGCUGUGUGCCUUCAUGGGCCGGUGGGGAGAUCAAAGAUCUCCCUCACCGGCCCACAGGCAAUCAUAAGCGGCCGCAGGCUGGGAAGUGAGGGAGGCAGGAGAGGACCCGGGGGAGCUCUAGCCAGCAGCUCCGCCGGGUCCUCUUGCGUGAUUCUGAGCGUUGCCGCGGUUAUCGCGGCAACGCUCAGAUCUCGCGAGAGUGAACUCUAGCCUGCAGGCUAGAGUUCACUCUCACCACUAGGACCACUAAGAAGGGAGGGAGGGGGAUAUAACUUUUUUAUUUAUUAUUAUUAAUAAAAAAAAAUUUAAAUAAAAAAUAAAUUCACACUCACACUAACAGCUCCCUCACACACACAGCACCCCCAGACACACACACAGCACCCUCAGACACACACAGCACCCUCAGACACACACACAGCACCCCCAGACACACACAUCACCCAGACACACACAGCACCCUUUAGACACACACAGCACACCCAGACACACACAGCACCCUCAGACACACACAGCACCCUCAGACACACACAGCACCUUCAGACGCACACAGCACCUUCAGACACACACAACACCCUCCAGCACCCUCGCUGACACACACAGCACACUCCCACACAUAUACAGCACACACAAAGGCACACACACACAUAUAUAUAUAAAUAUAUAUAUAUAUAUAUAUAUAUAUAUAUAUAUAUAAAAUAACCCUCAGUGAGUUAACAGACAAAGAAAAUUAGAAACCUAGAAUGUGACGGCAGAUAAAAACACCCUCACACACAGCACCCCUCUUACACAACACACACUGCGCCCCUCACACAUACAAUACGUCCAAAUAUAUAUAUAUACACACACACACACUACAGCACCCCUCACACUGCACCACUACACACAUUACGCUCCAGAUACAUGCUAGAUCCCUUACCCUAUAUAAACUCUUAAUCCUCUACACACACACACACACACACACAAUCUCCUAUACACACUCUUGGUCCUUUACACACUAGAUCUCCUACACACACACACACACACUGCACCACCUACACACACACACUACAUUCCCUGUCAGCAAACACAUACAACAUUCUCUAAACACACCCUCUCUACAACCCCUACACACACUAUGUCACCUAUACACACACACUACAGCCUGUAUUCACACACUCGCUACAUCCCCUAUAACACUAUGCCCCCUAUACACACACUCUCUACAGCCCCUAGCCACAAAUAUUACACCACAAACACAAAUGAAAUUUACCUAUUUACACAAUACCACACCACACUCUACACACACGCAAUCCCACAAGCAGGCUCCAAACACAUGCACCAUACACUUUCCUGGCCCUUUUGUCCUCUGGUAUCACACUUGUGGAGACAGCAGAGACAAUUUAAAAGCAAACACAGCGCAAGCAUGUUAUUAAAUUUGCUUGCACUGCGCAGAACAAAUGCAGGGCCUUUUUUUAAAUGCUAGAGCUCUUCAGUGGGGCUCACGUUGAGAGGGGGCGUGCUUGUCAUUAGUGAUGACAAAACACACCCUCUCUGGCCCCGCCCCCUGAUUGAAAAAUGCCUGGACCGAAUUUUUUUCCCAUUCCGGCCCUGGUGCUGUCUGUCUUGUGGACUUGCUGUAGUUUCCAGCCACCAUACUUGCUGUUAAAACCGUAGAGCCAGUGGCAUAGAGAUACAGUUAAAAAUUCAUAUAGCGUUAUUUACUAAAAUGAAUUUCAAAUCUAGGGCCAAAAUAACCAUGUUGGAAAAGUUCUCCAAAUUAGCUAUGCUUUCAGUUCAGCCAUUUUUGCAUUAAAGUGACAUGCAUCACAAUAAUUUUUUUAAACCAGCAAUCAAACACUUUAAAACCAAAUAUAAAAAAACAAAAUUAGGCCAGAAAAACUUUGAAAAGUAUGUAAUAAAUGGACUAUAAACUUGGUCAGAUUGCAUUAUUAGACACACCUCUUAGCUAGGGGAGUUUCUUUAGCCUUCCCCCAACCCCUCUCUCUUACCCACCCACCCAGCCCAAUAAUGACAGAAACAAGGCAUCAUUGUAUAGCAGCAGGAGAGAAAAACAUGACAUCUGAUUAUACUCUGCAUAAUCACACUGAUCAGACUCUUUUCUUUCCCUGUCAGGAUGUUGCAAAGAUCUUCAAGCUACACAUAUAAAUCUGCCAGGCAUGUCCAACGCACUUUUCCAGCAUUCCUAGGGAUAGGACACUGAUUGGUUAGAUCAAUGGGUGGGUGUGGAAAGCACAAGAAAGAAGAAUCAGGUAAACAUGAAAAAGAAUCAUAUUCAUCUGCUGUUUUCAGUCUUCGGAGUGAGGCAUGUCCCUUUAAAUUUGAAAUUCAUUUUCAAUUUACUUUGAAUGCCCAAUUGUUUUCACGUUAGUAAAUAACCGUUUAUGUUAAAUAGCAUUUUCUGAGUGCUUUUAAUAGUGGUUAUUACACAAAAUAUAAUAUUUGGAUCAAAUAUGUCUCUAUAAAGUGUCACCCCUUUUUGCAUGACAAAUGUCCUUCAAUAGUGUAUAAUUCAAGGUCUUAAUUUUGUGAGCAGGGCAGUGGUGAGCCAAAUGCUCUUAUCUGAAUAAACAAGUUCCUUAUACUUUGAUGUGAGCAGUUUUUUCCUUAUUUGUGGGAGGAUUUGAACUUAGGAUAUGCGCGAUUAUUUCAACACAGGGCAGGAUUUUCUGAGAAGACUAGGACACCAUGUGACUACGUAACUAUGAUACAAUAGAAGGAAAACUGCCCUGUGAAUCACGGACAGAUGUGAGGAAGCUGCUAAACAGCUGGAAGCCACCAUGUUUAAUCCCAAGAGCUGUCGCACGUCUGUGAACAUCUGUCCUUAAAUCUAUUGGUGAUUAUUAAAGAAUCCUUAUG